UUUUGUUGCAAAGCUUUCAAGUCUACAUACUGCAGCUUCGACAACAGGGAAGCAUAAACCAAAAGAACAAGAAUGCAUAGAGCAAACAGUAUCAAAGAGCUGCAAGGAAAUUUCCUGCCAAGACCUGCAUCGCCAGAACAGAGCACCAUUGAUAAUGCGCAGAACUUCAUUGGCCAAUGACGCCUGACGGUCGUCGUCACAGCUGCGGUGGAACACAGGGAUUCAGACAUCGAAAGCAGGGAUCAGAGAUGAUUACAUAAGUCGAACGCAC
rnacentral:lncRNA from 1 species